AAUAUCACGUUUCCAUACAGGUUCUCGUACGAUCACUGAAGUUAAGCAAUGUCGGUUCUGGUCAGUACCUAGAUGGGUGAACGCUUGGGAGUACCAGGUU